rnacentral:snRNA from 1 species
UGGGAAUGCAGCCCCAAUCGGGCGGUA